rnacentral:tRNA from 1 species
UAGCUCAGUGGUAGAGCACAUGCUUAGCAUGCACAAGGUCCUGGGUUCAAUCCCCAG